rnacentral:lncRNA from 1 species
AUGGAGUCCCAGAGCCUGUGCAUCUCCUGCUUAGCACUAAUAAUGAUGCUUUUAGGUUUGAUCCAGAAGGAAUGGGUUAAGCUGAAGAUGACACCAUCAGGGAAAUACAUUUCCAGCAGCCCCUGGACCUCUUGUAUCCUCUUAGACUGCACCAAUGUUACACCAGCAGGAACCUGCCUGCUCUCAGCAAUCAUACUGUACUACCAAGACCUGAAGAACAAUAUCGAGAAACAAUACGUUGAUUUCAAAGUCACCUGGGUUUUUCAUUCAAAUUAUAUAAUUAUCUUUUUGUAUUAUGCCUGUGGUAAGUGUCCCCUACACCCCUGAGGUAAGAUCAGAGACAAUCCAUCUGUGGUUGGAGGUGAGGGGAUUGGGGGAACACAGGAGAAUCUUUCAUCCUAAAUUAUUGAAACUCAUCUAGAUUCAGUUCUAGGGGUAGCUUUUUCAGAGGGUAAGUUGGGGUGUGGGACUAUGGAAAAUACCAAUUCCUAGUGAAGAGUUUCAGAGAACAUCCUUCCCUUUGUCUUCCUCUAUUGUCCAUCACACUUUCCCCUCCAUCAUGACACAUCUGGCCAAGAAAGACAUGGCUAUAAGGAGUGUCUUUGAAGGAGAAAAAAAUGAGUGCUUUUUUUUUUUUAACACAUUCCUUCUUUCCUAGUAACAGCUUUACAACAGAAGGGCAAAGACUAGGCAAAUGAGGCUUUGACUUGCCCAUAUUCAGAUAGCUAGAAAGUAUCUGAAGUCACAUUUGAACCUAAGCCCUCCCAACUCCAAGUCUGAUAUUCUAUCCACUGUGCCACCUAACUACACCAAAAUGAAGGCAUUUAGAAACAAAAUAAAAAUAAUAAAAGUAGUGUCA